GGUAACGUUGUGCCAGGAGGUCAGGUAAUGGUGAGGGUGCAAGCGUUAUGCGGAAUUACUGGGGGUAAAGCGUGGGUAGUUGGUUGUUUAAGUCGGUCGUGAAAGGCCUGGGAUCAACCUGGGAACUGCGAUGGAAACUGGGCGACUAGAGUGUGGUAGAGGGUAGCGGAAUUCCGGGUGUAGCAGUGAAAUGCGUAGAUAUCAGGAGGAACAUCCAUGGCGAAGGCAGCUACCUGGGCCAACACUGACACUGAGGCACGAAAGCGUGGGGAGCAAACAGGAUUAGAUACCCCGGUAGUC
rnacentral:rRNA from 1 species